rnacentral:rRNA from 1 species
AUGGAGAUUUUAACAUGUGAUAUGUCCUCAAGCAAACUAAGUUCUUUUGCAAUUUGCUGCUCAAGUUGUGGCUCUCCUGCAGGGCAAAUCUCCCCAACAAGAAGCAUAACAGAGGCCUCUCUUUCAAUGUAUGAAGAUUGGGUAUCUAAUAACUGGCCAUCAGAGGGAGAAAUUCAGCUCCAUAACCUCCAUUGCAAACCAUUGUUCUUUCUUGGGCAAAUCUUCCCAACAAGAAGCAUAACAGAGGCCUCUCUUUCAAUUGGUAGAGAGUGUAGAGAACUGGUGUGUGGGCCAGUGUCAGCCCGUCUGUCUCAGUUGAGUGAUUCUGAGACGGACCAAGAUAUUGGUUCUGCCACUGCUUCGGUGGACUUGCAACCUCUUGCAACAGAUAACCUGAUACCGGACACACCACAACAGCAUUACUCAGGGGUGAUUGGCAUGACGAUCGUGCAUCGAAUCACCUUGGUCCUUCAGAGCGAAAUACUCUAG